rnacentral:other from 1 species
CAUCCUCUGCGGCGUUCGAGGCCGGCGCAAGCCCUUCGAGCCUGUUUGAUAUGCUUAGGAGCCUGAUCGCGAUUGCCGUGUGCAAGUCCGCACAACCCAGCGGAAAGCCUGAAGCAGUCCGGUCCGCCCCCCUUGAACCCUUGGUUCAAGGGUGACCGCCGUCACGGCGCAUGCGGAGGAUGC